CUCUCGCCUCGGCCUGCUGUCGGGAUCCUCCGUCCGUUGGCGCGGCCGAGGCCGAGGGGCUGGGGCGGGCGGCCGGGAAGUGGGAAAGAGAGCCAGAGGCGCUCCUUUUGUCUUUUCUUCCCAUCCCCCAGCCACUUCAGGACUGAGAGGUGGAUGAUAAACCCUGUCAUAGUAGAGCAAGUUCAGGUGUUUAACACCUGUUACAUGGAAUCUGCCUUUCUCCCUCUUCUUUCUUACUCCCAUAAGUUUAUAUGUACAGAGAUUGAAAAAUAACCUUGAGAGAGUCCAUCCCUCUAACUCCAGUUUCCUACCAUAGGAACUUCUUGAAGAAUCAUUCUUAUGUCCAUUGUGUGACAUCUGCACCACACCAAUCUGAAAAAUGAAAGUGGUAAGAUGCAUCUACUGGCUGGCUGAGACCCAAAAAUACCAGUAAGUAGGAAAAUCAACCAAGCUGCUUUGAAUUUUUCUGUGGGAAGACAGAUCUGGAUAUUUACUGAAAACUAUCAAAUUGGAAUCAUCUUGUAUAGCUUGGAGAACUGUAGCAAUAUAUCCCAAGGCCACUCAAGUCUUCCUUACUAUCCUCUUUAAAUUGUGCCAGGAAACCUCUUUCUGAGUGCAAUUACUUUCACAGGAUGAAUAGAAUGUAGGGGUUUUUCUAUUGCUGCCCUUGUUUCAUAUCAAAGGACUCUAAAUUUAAUGAAAUAUAACUGUAAAUUCAUUAAGAAAUACAUUUACAGCUUUAAUAUUUGUGCUCCCUAAUAUAUACCUAAAUGGUUCCUGAAAGCUAAACAAUGAUGUAGGUAGUUGAUUAACUUAAAACAUUAUCUCUAAAUGGAACAUAGUGUAUUUAUAGGGAAAGAGUUGAUUAAUGUUGAACAGGAAAAUGAGAGGAACUGAUGGAAAUAUUCACCAAGGAGUUACACCUGAGAUGCCAAGUUUCUAAAUGUAAUGCCUUUUCUUAUCUCUAUAAUGAAAAUUGUCAUUAGGAAGAUGGCAGAAGUAGGUUGUUACUGCUGGUAAUGAAAUAAGACAUGAAACACUUGAGAGUCUGUUCAUAAAAUUGUAUUUAUCAGUAGAAGGGAAAAUUACCUCAUUUAGGUUUUACAGAAAGACGCUAACGUACAUGUUAAAAACAACAGAUUCUGUUAUAUUAUUCUGAUAAUUUAAAGCAUACAUGAAGCAUAGGCUGUUUGUUUUAAAUGGAUAAAUACCAUGAAAGGAUACUUUACAGUUCAAAAUUAAAUUUUAUAGUUUUAUAACUAACAAAAUGGUGUAGAUCCAUAAAUACAUAAUUUGGUAUAUACAGCUAUUUAUCUGUUAAUCAAGAGAGAGAGAAAGAGAGAAUGGCUUUUGAAAUAUUCUGAGAAUCUCUAUUUGACUCAUUGUAGAAAAAUUGGAAAAAAUGAUCAAUAAUGAAAAGGAAAUUUAAGUAACCCAUAAUCCCACUUCAGAGUUCACUACUGUGACCACAUUAUUAUAUUUUGGGGGGACAAUUUGACAGUUUGUAUCAAAAUAUGUACCUAGUUCUUGAUUCAAAAAGUACUUACCUCAAAAAAAUAGUAACUGGAUGGGUGUUGACCCAGCUGGUUUCACAAAUACCAUAAACUGGGUGGCUUAUAAACAAAAGACCAUAAACUGGGUGGCUAUAAACACUAGAAAUUUAUUUCCCACAAUUUUGGAGGUUUGAAAGUCCACGGUCAACGUGCCAAACGACUCUGUAUCUGGUGAGGGCCCACUUUCUGGUUCAUAACCAUCCUCUUGCUGUGGCCUCACAUGGUUGAACAGGCUAGUGAUCUCUCUGGGGUCUCUUUUAUAAGGGCCCUAUCCUAUUCUUGAGGUCUCUGUUCUUGUUAUCUAAUCACCUUCCCAAAGACCUCACCUCCUAAUACCAUUGCCUUGGGGUUAUGAUUUCGACAUGUAAAUUUGAGAGAGGCACAAACAUUCAGUCCAUAGAAGGUGCCUAGGGUAUUUAUUGCAGUGUUGUGACUAAUAAGUAGUUUUAAACCUGAAAUAUCACAUAUAAAGCUAUUUGUUAAAUUCAUUGUGCUCUAGCUAUAUAAGCAAACACUAAAUAGCAAUUAAGAAUGAUAUUGUGGAAGAACAUUUAAUGACAUUGAAAGAUGUUCACUAUAUAUGAUUAAGUGAAAAUAGUAGUGUCUAAAAUAAUAAAACACAUUAUAACUACACACAAAGUGACACACACACUCACAUACAUGUAUACAAACAGGCAUACCUUGUAGAUAUUGCAAGUUUGAUUCCAGACCACUGCGAUAAAGCCAAUAUUGCAAUAAAGCAA
rnacentral:lncRNA from 1 species